UUAAGCGACUAAGCGUACACGGUGGAUGCCUUGGCAGUCAGAGGCGAUGAAGGACGUGCUAAUCUGCGAUAAGCGUCGGUAAGGUGAUAUGAACCGUUAUAACCGGCGAUUUCCGAAUGGGGAAACCCAGUGUGAUUCGUCACACUAUCAUUAACUGAAUCCAUAGGUUAAUGAGGCGAACCGGGGGAACUGAAACAUCUAAGUACCCCGAGGAAAAGAAAUCAACCGAGAUUCCCCCAGUAGCGGCGAGCGAACGGGGAGCAGCCCAGAGCCUGAAUCAGUGUGUGUGUUAGUGGAAGCGUCUGGAAAGGCGUGCGAUACAGGGUGACAGCCCCGUACACAAAAAUGCACAUACUGUGAGCUCGAUGAGUAGGGCGGGACACGUGGUAUCCUGUCUGAAUAUGGGGGGACCAUCCUCCAAGGCUAAAUACUCCUGACUGACCGAUAGUGAACCAGUACCGUGAGGGAAAGGCGAAAAGAACCCCGGCGAGGGGAGUGAAAAAGAACCUGAAACCGUGUACGUACAAGCAGUGGGAGCACGCUUAGGCGUGUGACUGCGUACCUUUUGUAUAAUGGGUCAGCGACUUAUAUUCUGUAGCAAGGUUAACCGAAUAGGGGAGCCGAAGGGAAACCGAGUCUUAACUGGGCGUUAAGUUGCAGGGUAUAGACCCGAAACCCGGUGAUCUAGCCAUGGGCAGGUUGAAGGUUGGGUAACACUAACUGGAGGACCGAACCGACUAAUGUUGAAAAAUUAGCGGAUGACUUGUGGCUGGGGGUGAAAGGCCAAUCAAACCGGGAGAUAGCUGGUUCUCCCCGAAAGCUAUUUAGGUAGCGCCUCGUGAAUUCAUCUCCGGGGGUAGAGCACUGUUUCGGCAAGGGGGUCAUCCCGACUUACCAACCCGAUGCAAACUGCGAAUACCGGAGAAUGUUAUCACGGGAGACACACGGCGGGUGCUAACGUCCGUCGUGAAGAGGGAAACAACCCAGACCGCCAGCUAAGGUCCCAAAGUCAUGGUUAAGUGGGAAACGAUGUGGGAAGGCCCAGACAGCCAGGAUGUUGGCUUAGAAGCAGCCAUCAUUUAAAGAAAGCGUAAUAGCUCACUGGUCGAGUCGGCCUGCGCGGAAGAUGUAACGGGGCUAAACCAUGCACCGAAGCUGCGGCAGCGACGCUUAUGCGUUGUUGGGUAGGGGAGCGUUCUGUAAGCCUGUGAAGGUGUGCUGUGAGGUAUGCUGGAGGUAUCAGAAGUGCGAAUGCUGACAUAAGUAACGAUAAAGCGGGUGAAAAGCCCGCUCGCCGGAAGACCAAGGGUUCCUGUCCAACGUUAAUCGGGGCAGGGUGAGUCGACCCCUAAGGCGAGGCCGAAAGGCGUAGUCGAUGGGAAACAGGUUAAUAUUCCUGUACUUGGUGUUACUGCGAAGGGGGGACGGAGAAGGCUAUGUUGGCCGGGCGACGGUUGUCCCGGUUUAAGCGUGUAGGCUGGUUUUCCAGGCAAAUCCGGAAAAUCAAGGCCGAGGCGUGAUGACGAGGCACUACGGUGCUGAAGCAACAAAUGCCCUGCUUCCAAGAAAAGCCUCUAAGCAUCAGGUAACAUCAAAUCGUACCCCAAACCGACACAGGUGGUCAGGUAGAGAAUACCAAGGCGCUUGAGAGAACUCGGGUGAAGGAACUAGGCAAAAUGGUGCCGUAACUUCGGGAGAAGGCACGCUGAUACGUAGGUGAAGCGACUUGCUCGUGGAGCUGAAAUCAGUCGAAGAUACCAGCUGGCUGCAACUGUUUAUUAAAAACACAGCACUGUGCAAACACGAAAGUGGACGUAUACGGUGUGACGCCUGCCCGGUGCCGGAAGGUUAAUUGAUGGGGUUAGCGCAAGCGAAGCUCUUGAUCGAAGCCCCGGUAAACGGCGGCCGUAACUAUAACGGUCCUAAGGUAGCGAAAUUCCUUGUCGGGUAAGUUCCGACCUGCACGAAUGGCGUAAUGAUGGCCAGGCUGUCUCCACCCGAGACUCAGUGAAAUUGAACUCGCUGUGAAGAUGCAGUGUACCCGCGGCAAGACGGAAAGACCCCGUGAACCUUUACUAUAGCUUGACACUGAACAUUGAGCCUUGAUGUGUAGGAUAGGUGGGAGGCUUUGAAGUGUGGACGCCAGUCUGCAUGGAGCCGACCUUGAAAUACCACCCUUUAAUGUUUGAUGUUCUAACGUGGACCCGUGAUCCGGGUUGCGGACAGUGUCUGGUGGGUAGUUUGACUGGGGCGGUCUCCUCCUAAAGAGUAACGGAGGAGCACGAAGGUUGGCUAAUCCUGGUCGGACAUCAGGAGGUUAGUGCAAUGGCAUAAGCCAGCUUGACUGCGAGCGUGACGGCGCGAGCAGGUGCGAAAGCAGGUCAUAGUGAUCCGGUGGUUCUGAAUGGAAGGGCCAUCGCUCAACGGAUAAAAGGUACUCCGGGGAUAACAGGCUGAUACCGCCCAAGAGUUCAUAUCGACGGCGGUGUUUGGCACCUCGAUGUCGGCUCAUCACAUCCUGGGGCUGAAGUAGGUCCCAAGGGUAUGGCUGUUCGCCAUUUAAAGUGGUACGCGAGCUGGGUUUAGAACGUCGUGAGACAGUUCGGUCCCUAUCUGCCGUGGGCGCUGGAGAACUGAGGGGGGCUGCUCCUAGUACGAGAGGACCGGAGUGGACGCAUCACUGGUGUUCGGGUUGUCAUGCCAAUGGCACUGCCCGGUAGCUAAAUGCGGAAGAGAUAAGUGCUGAAAGCAUCUAAGCACGAAACUUGCCCCGAGAUGAGUUCUCCCUGACCCUUUAAGGGUCCUGAAGGAACGUUGAAGACGACGACGUUGAUAGGCCGGGUGUGUAAGCGCAGCGAUGCGUUGAGCUAACCGGUACUAAUGAACCGUGAGGCUUAACCUU
rnacentral:rRNA from 1 species